UCCGUAGGCGGUGUGGCAAGUCGGAAGUGAAAUCUCUGGGCUUAACUCAGAGGCUGCUUCCGAAACUGCCGUGCUAGAGUGCGAGAGAGGCAAGUGGAAUUGCGGGUGUAGCGGUGAAAUGCGUAGAUAUCCGCAGGAACAUCCGAGGCGAAAGCGGCUUGCUGGAUCGCAACUGACGCUGAGGGACGAAAGCUAGGGGAGCAAACAGGAUUAGAUACCCUGGUAGUCCUAGCCCUAAACCAUCAGGACUUGGGGUUUGCCCUGUACGGGGCAAGUCCCGUAGCUAACGCGUUAAGUCCUGCGCCUGGGGAGUACGGUCGCAGGCUGA
rnacentral:rRNA from 1 species